UUCCAGAGUCUAUGCCUUUGAAAUGUAUGGUCUCCACCAAAUGACCUGAGAAACUCUAGGGUGGCCUGCAAGCAGAAUCUCUGCCGUGUAAUAAGCCUGCCUCCUGGACUCCAGGACCUGACGAAAGCGCCUCUGUCAGCCUCUGGGUUUGCACAGUGGAGCAUUAGUCAGUGAGUCGUAGCACCAACUCCGCCUGCCUCAGCCUGCCUAGCUAGUGUCCUCAUCUGGAAGGUACCUGUGGGAGCCAGGCUGAGAAAUUCCUCUCCUGCAGCUGUCCUCUGGGAAUCUUGUAGGCAUGGCCUUUCCCUCACUAUUCCAUCAGAGGGCGCCAAAUCCAUCGCUGGCUUCCUGAAGCCUGUGGUUUCCCUGGGCGAUAGCAAAGGGAAGCGAUGGGGAGAGUUGAAAACGCAUGUUGAAGCAAUUAGACAUGUGUAGCGCUAUAGUUUUUUUUAACCCCGCCAUCUCCAUCUGCCGGCCUACCCGCUACCCCUGCCUGCCAAGCUCAGCUGUGGUCACCGGAGUCAAGCGCUGUCUGGAGGAGGCUGGCUUCAGGACGUUCACGCACGCUACCCUGUCGGUUUGGAGCCCUUGUUGGCUAGACACUUGUAGCUCCCUCUCCCUAGUCUCAGAAAGGUUCUUUCUAACCAAUAUACGCAAAACAACUACCAUUACAAAUUUAAAAUUGUUUGAGAUACAUUAAACAUGAUUUGCAUUGCUGGGUGUUGAACUUAGGACACACCCUACAUUGUUGUACAGUUAACCUUCAGCGCUCAGCCUGUAGCUGUUUUAAGAAGGGAUCACUUGGUGUAGGGGGAACGGAACUCUGAGAGCACAUUCUCAUUCAACAUUGUACGAAGGUUGUGAUUUCUGUGUGCCCUCGUCUUGAUUAAAAAACCAACCAUUCGACUUCUUAUAGGUCCUCAUGCACUAACGGGUUUUGAGAUAUCCCUUUCAGCUGCAAAUUUCUGUUCGUACUGGCCUCACAAGAUGAGCACGCUCAAUGAGGUCAAGUAACCGUGGAGCAGAUACAGCAAGACUUUUAGAAGACGAAGACCAAGAGAUUCUGUGACUGUAGGGUGGCUGGGGUGGGACUGGCCGAAGAGUGUGGGGCUUUCAGAGGGGCGUGGCCUGACACAGGGCGGGGCUUGCCCAUGUCAGCUUCUCACUACAGGCGCUUUCAGGUACCCCUGGUGAUACUGCCCUCCCGUUGAGGGGCACUGUCCUUUGUCAAAUACAGAGACCAGGAAAGCUCCUCCUUCCUUCUCUCCCUGUGAGGUAAGGAAAAUGAAGUGUCUUCUCUGCCCUUGUGACGCGCGCCCCCUCCCAAGCUGGUGCCACCCAGUGCUGGUGAAGUCUUGCCCUAGCAAUGAGGGUGAGUUGUGGAGGAUGGUGCCCCUGGCGGUGGGGAAGCUAGGGGGCAAAUGGGGAGCCAGGGCCUCUGGGUGAAGAGGGUGCUUGUGGCCAGCAGCCAGGGCCACAACUCGGUCAAGAGGGUUCUCUUUGUAGGACUAGCCUGUCUGGGCCCAAGACCGGCUCUAGCUCAUGGAAUUCCUGGUCAGUAGCUUAGGUCAGCCGGCUGAGCCAGAAAGGGUGGUCUGUGACCUCCAGGGAACUUCUGUUCUUACCUCACUUACUGCAUGAGGGGGAGAGAAGGCAAGAAGCAAAGAUUUCUCUCGCUGCUGCCAGCAUCUAGUUCUCACCGGGAUGGACCACUGCUGACCACUUACCAGGGGCCCCUGGACAGGAUACUGGUGUGAGGCUGCUCGGAUUUUCCAGAACUAAUAAAGCCCUUCCCUUUGAGAUGGGAGCUGAGUUUUGGGUUGACAGUGACCCCUGUGAUGUUUGGACAUACAGGUACCAAUAAGAAAACCAACUUCUGAGAUGUCUUAAAUUUCAUUACUGAGAGCCAGUGAGUGAAGAGAUGGAGAGGGGUUAAUUAGUA